UAAAGUUAAAAUGAAAUAACAUUUGCAGAAGAGCUCUGGAACCCAUCCGACAGGAUGAAAGCCAUCAUUAUUUCUAAGGGGCACUGGAUCUGCCAGAGGAGGGACAGUAUCUCUGACACGUGUGAUGGCUCAGGAAAGGACAACGCUGAUGGAGAGUUGACAAGAUUGCAGGGGCUAAAGGCAAAUAAUGACUGAAGCCCUUCUUGGUGCCAUCUCUCUGGUGAUGAACGAGGCACUCAUGGUCUUUGGCUGGUUGGAGUUCACAGUCUGACUGGGAAGAAUACAUGUGUCUGCAUAUGAGAGUGAGAGCCAGGGAAGAGAGAAGGAGAGAGACAGAGGGUCACCCUUCACAGGAACAAGUCAUGCCAUGAUUCUCUUCUUCAAGUUUUCCAGCCAAUUGGAUCAUGGACACCUGAACACAA